rnacentral:lncRNA from 1 species
AAACAAAAGAGAAAAAAAAGAAAAAAAGCGUCUACUAAUUGAUAAUUUUUAUUUCUCUUAAAAUAUAUAAUAGAGAGAGAUAGGAUGAGUAAAAGUAAAAUAAGAAUGGUGUGAUACAUGUUGUCUGAGAAAAUAUAUAUGUCUGCAUUGGUGGUUAAAACGUAUUGUCUACAUAGUCGCUUGUAUUAUUUGUUAAAAACAUAACACAUUUCUGUUUUAACUUGAUUGUAUAUUAAAUUCAAAAAAGAACAUAUGUUAUACGAAAUGAUAAAUACGGGUAUGUACAUAUAUAUAUAUAUAUAUAUAUAUAUAUAUUUAUGCAUACAUAUUUUUUUUUUUUUUUUUAAUACAUUUUUUUUGUGUGUGUAUAACACAGCUUAAUAGGUGGAGAUGUAGGUUCACUGUUUUUAGGACAUUAUUUAAGGCAACAUAAAUUAAACGUUAAAUUAUUGUCAAUUAAAAAAAAAUGUAAUUUUAUUAAUACUCAGUAUAAUAAAUCAAAUAUUUUUGAGUGUGGCUAUUACCAUUCUUUUAUUCUGAAUAGUAGCCAAUCGUCUUACCUAUCAUCUCUUUUACGAGAAUUAAAACUUGAGGGAGAAAUCAUAGAAAGUAACAAAUACUCGUCUAACAUUUCUUUUUUAAAUUGUGAUGGGAGAAUAUACAAAAUUAAUAAAUAUAUACCUCAAAUUUGUUAUUUUAUUUUUAAGGAUUAUUUUUUUCAUAAAUUUGUGAAUGUUAAAAAGAACGAACGACUUAAAGAAUUUGUUUUAAAAUAUUGUAACAAAAAAAUAUACGAAGACUUAAUAACCCCGUAUUGCUACCAUCACUUUGGCUAUUCUCCUGAACACAUAUUAAUGAAAUCUUAUUUCCCUAAUUUUUUGCAAAGAUUAGAGAACGAAAAAAGUCUGUUCAAAUCUAUUAAAUGUCUUAAUGGUGAUAAUAAUAAAAAUAGCAAUUUGUUUCAAAAAAAUAAAAAAGUUGUUAGGUUUAAAGAAGGAAACGUGUUAUUAACAAACAAACUCAUUGACCACUUCGAUUUAUACCCUAACACUCAACACUUUAGAAAUAUACAAAAUUUGAAAAUUAUAUGUAGAAAAGGAAAAGUUAAGGUGUCUAUAGGAAGAAAUGUAAUACGUUGUGAUGAUGUUGUUCUUUGUCUGAAUCCUUUAGAAUUAAAAAAUAUGUUGAAAAAAAAAAAUUUCAAAUUGAAAACAAAAAGGUUUUAA